rnacentral:rRNA from 1 species
CCUACGGGAGGCUGCAGUGGGGAAUAUUGGACAAUGGGGGGAACCCUGAUCCAGCCAUGCCGCGUGUGUGAAGAAGGCCCUCGGGUUGUAAAGCACUUUCAGUGAGGAAGAACGCCUGGUGGUUAAUACCCAUCAGGAAAGACAUCACUCACAGAAGAAGCACCGGCUAACUCCGUGCCAGCAGCCGCGGUAAUACGGAGGGUGCGAGCGUUAAUCGGAAUUACUGGGCGUAAAGCGCGCGUAGGUGGCUUGAUAAGCCGGUUGUGAAAGCCCCGGGCUCAACCUGGGAACGGCAUCCGGAGCUGUCAAGCUAGAGUGCAGGAGAGGAAGGUAGAAUUCCCGGUGUAGCGGUGAAAUGCGUAGAGAUCGGGAGGAAUACCAGUGGCGAAGGCGGCCUUCUGGACUGACACUGACACUGAGGUGCGAAAGCGUGGGUAGCAAACAGGAUUAGAUACCCUGGUAGUC